rnacentral:rRNA from 1 species
CAAUAGCGUAUAUUUAAGUUGUUGCAGUUAAAAAGCUCGUAGUUGGAUUUCGGUUAAGAGCGACCGGUCCGCCGUUUGGUGUGCACUGGUUGGUUUUAACUUCCUGUAGAGGACGUGCUCUGGGUUUAACGACCUGGACUCGGAGUCUACGUGGUUACUUUGAAAAAAUUAGAGUGUUCAAAGCGGGCUUACGCUUGAAUAUUUCAGCAUGGAAUAACACUAUAGGACUCCUGUCCUAUUUCGUUGGUCUCGGGACGGGAGUAAUGAUUAAGAGGAACAGUUGGGGGCAUUCGUAUUUCAUUGUCAGAGGUGAAAUUCUUGGAUUUAUGAAAGACUAACUACUGCGAAAGCAUUUGCCAAGGAUGUUUUCAUUAA